UACGUAGGGUGCAAGCGUUAUCCGGAAUUAUUGGGCGUAAAGAGCUCGUAGGCGGUUUGUCGCGUCUGCUGUGAAAACCGGAGGCUCAACCUCCGGCCCGCAGUGGGUACGGGCAAACUAGAGUGCGGUAGGGGAGAUUGGAAUUCCUGGUGUAGCGGUGGAAUGCGCAGAUAUCAGGAGGAACACCGAUGGCGAAGGCAGAUCUCUGGGCCGUAAACUGACG
rnacentral:rRNA from 1 species